UGUAAGCGUAUACCAAAGUUGUUGCAGUUAAAACGCUCGUAGUCGGAAUUUGGCAGUUCCGGAUGUGUGCACGUCGUGUGCGCACUUCGCGGGGAUUGCUUUUGUGGUCUUGCGUAGGAUGAGGCACUUUUAUUAGUGAACGUCCUCACGCAACCACUUUUUACUGUGGGAAAAUCAGAGUGCUCAAAGCAGGCAUUUGCCGUGAAUGUAUUAGCAUGGAAUAAUAGAAUAGGACUUGGUUCUAUUUUGUUGGUUUGUUGAGACUGAGUAAUGAUUAAGAGGGACAGUUGGGGGCAUUUGUAUUUCGGUGCUAGAGGUGAAAUUCUUAGAUUACCGAAAGACAAACUGCUGCGAAAGCGUCUGCCAAGGAUGUUUUCAUUGA
rnacentral:rRNA from 1 species